rnacentral:rRNA from 1 species
UACAGAGGUCCCGAGCGUUGUCCGGAAUCAUUGGGCGUAAAGCGCGCGUAGGCGGCCCGGUAAGUCCGCUGUGAAAGUCCAGGGCUCAACCCUGGAAAGCCGGUGGAUACUGCCGGGCUAGAGUCCGGAAGAGGCGAGUGGAAUUCCUGGUGUAGCGGUGGAAUGCGCAGAUAUCAGGAGGAACACCGAUGGCGAAGGCAGCUCGCUGGGACGGUACUGACGCUGAGGCGCGAAAGCGUGGGGAGCAAACAGG